rnacentral:lncRNA from 1 species
AAGGGCAGCCCUCUGCCUUCCACCAAUUCCCCCCCCAAUCCUUGCGUCUCUCCCUUUUAUCCCAGUUUCCGCAAGGCAGCUCCCUCCUUAUUCUUUCCACGCCCUGACCUCCUGUCAGCGCCCCCUCUCCCUCCUUUCCAGCUCCAAGACCACCCACUGUCUAACUCCUUUCUUUUAUUCUAUUAUUUUCCCUUCUUUGCUUCACACUCCCCGCACGAGGUAAACCCUUUUUUUCACGCUUCACACUCCCCGCACGAGGCUCUCCUUUUUUUCACGCUGCCCAAGCAGCUCUUUCUUUUUAUUUUUUAUUCUUUCCGUUUUCUCCCUCCUUUCACGCCUGCCUUCUUUCCCUCUCCCAAUUAUCCUGCUGUCCUCAUUAUUAUUUUUCCUUCUUUCUGUUCUCUUUUUGCUGAUCUCUCUUAGCUUUCUUUCUUCUCCUAGAAACACAAUAAAUCAAAAGUAUCAUAAAUACUUAAAACUUCCAACUAAAUUAGACAAGAAAAGAAAUAUAAAAGGAUGAAAUAUAUAGUUUAAAUAUUGGUUUAUCAUUUAGCGUCACAAUGGAUUAGCAAUAUUGUAAUUUAAAUUUGCUUUUGACGAAUUUAUUACAUAAAAUUUCACUUGUUCUAUUUUUAUUUU